GACGAACCGUGCGAACGUUGUUCGGAAUCACUGGGCUUAAAGGGCGCGUAGGCGGGCGAGCAAGUCCGGGGUGAAAUCUUUCGGCUUAACCGGAAAAGGGCCUUGGAUACUGCUCGUCUUGAGGGAGGUAGGGGCAGGUGGAACUUCCGGUGGAGCGGUGAAAUGCGUUGAUAUCGGAAGGAACGCCGGUGGCGAAAGCGACCUGCUGGAUCUCUUCUGACGCUGAGGCGCGAAAGCUAGGGGAGCAAACGGG
rnacentral:rRNA from 1 species